rnacentral:rRNA from 1 species
UGAGGAAUAUUGGACAAUGGGUUAGCGCCUGAUCCAGCCAUCCCGCGUGAAGGACGACGGCCCUAUGGGUUGUAAACUUCUUUUGUACAGGGAUAAACCUUUCCACGUGUGGAAAGCUGAAGGUACUGUACGAAUAAGCACCGGCUAACUCCGUGCCAGCAGCCGCGGUAAUACGGAGGGUGCAAGCGUUAUCCGGAUUUAUUGGGUUUAAAGGGUCCGUAGGCGGAUCUGUAAGUCAGUGGUGAAAUCUCACAGCUUAACUGUGAAACUGCCAUUGAUACUGCAGGUCUUGAGUAAGGUAGAAGUGGCUGGAAUAAGUAGUGUAGCGGUGAAAUGCAUAGAUAUUACUUAGAACACCAAUUGCGAAGGCAGGUCACUAUGUCUUAACUGACGCUGAUGGACGAAAGCGUGGGGAGCGAACA